rnacentral:lncRNA from 1 species
UUUUUUUUUUUUUUUUCCUUUUUAGGACUGCACCUGCGACAUAUGGAAGUUCCUGGGCUAGGGGUUGAAUCGGAGCUGCAGCUGCCAGGCCACAGCCACAGCCAUGCCAGAUCCGAGCUACACACAGCUCACAGCAGCACUGGAUCCUUAACCCACUGAGCGAGGCUAGGGAUUGAACCCGUGUUCUCACGGCUACUCGUCGGGUUCCUUCCAACUGAGCCACAGCGGGAACUCUGGAAAUGUACUACAAAGACUAAUCCCUGAGGGGGAGUCACGGAGAACCAAAAUCAGAUUCUUGCUGAGAACUUCCUGUGCCUGAUGAUGUUUCCAGGGCUUGUGAGAGGCUUCGGUGACACGUAACAGGAAAACCUGGGGUCCCAGCCGGUGCGACCCGGGGGCCCCAGCCGGUGCGAGCCAUCCAUCCGCAGCAGGAUGUCGGCGGGGUCCUUGGCUUCUGAGUUCAUGGCCAAGAGGAGGUUGGAGGAAGCGGAAUAGGGUUGGUCCUAGAAGGUCUGGUCCAUGGUAGUGCUGGGGAGCAUGAGGAGUCAAGAAGCCAGGGUCAAACCAAGAGGCACGGAGGGAUCUGAAGCCCCUCGGAGCACGCGGUGGCCUCUUGCUGCCACGCUGUCAUCCUUCCUGGCCGAUCACUGGCCAGCAUGCGCAGGAGGCCUGUGGGCUGUGUGCCCCCGGCGGGAGGCAGCCUCUUCCCUUCCUGCCGGCCGCUCAGCUCUGCUCGCCAGGCCCCUCUCCACGCGGCCAGACGCCUCCACGGAGUUAACCCCUCACUAUAGGAAGUUUUAGUGCUUUUCAAAACAUUUUAUCUUUGGCUGAUUGUGAAGCCGCUUACUUUGGAUCCCAAUGGGCUUCAAGCGGUUUGAACGGUCUUCUCUUCCAGGAUAAUCUCGCCACGAGCCCAGAGGUUCCCGUCUGCCUGUCCCACCUCCCGCCUCUGUCCAGAGAGCGAGGCCCUGCGUGGAACGAAGGAAGCUGCAUUUCCGCCUUUAUGCCGCGGCAUGCCAGUCUAAAGGGGGACUGCAUCCCCGUCAGAAAACGUUUUAGGAGUUCCCAUUGCGAGUCAGAGGGUUAAGACCCCGACUAGUGUGCACGAGGACCCAGGUUCGAUCCCCGGCCUCGCUCAGUGGGUUAAGGAUCCGACGUCGCCCUGAGCUGUGGUGUGGGUCACAGACGAGAUUUGGAUUCCAGCUGCUGUGGCUGUGGAGCAGGCCGGCAGCUGCAGCUCCGAUUCGACCCCUAGCCCGGGAACUUCCCUAGGCCACUGGUGUGGCCACAAAAAGAAAAAAGAAGAAGAAGAUAAACACAUUUUUGAAAUUGUGUGUUGCCUGGAUGGACUCUGCCCCCCAUCAGGCAGUGAGCGGGCACCGGUGAGGGAAGCUGUCCCUGCUGCCCCAUCAGUUGAGGAACCUCGUGGACCACGCUCUGGAUCCUUCCUGAAAGCCCUGCCGAUACCGACUUCUUUAACCCGUCGCCAGCCAGGCAUUCGUAUCUGCACUCGUGUUGCGAUCCUGAAGUGAGAGCUUGGCCAUCGCAAGGCAGUGGGUUCAUUUAUUAGCAUCUUAUUCAAAUCGUUUAAUUAGGCACACCUGUGUUUAACAGCAGCGUUAUGUAAAAGUCAUGAAUCUUGAGCAAAUCUGACCCAUUUUUGGGUCAGUGACGGUGAGGCCCAGGGAGGAGGUGGCUGUCCUGUGGCAGCCGGGCUCCUCUGAGGCCCGGGCUUGGAGGCGCAGCAGCGGAGAAGAGGACAGCCACCCCGGGGGUCUGGAGGGUCCCUGAACCACGUGGUGAUGACAAAGUCCACCAGGGGGAGCUGGCGGGGUGGGAGGAGUGGCCGCGACCUCAACAGGCCCCCGAGGAGCAGCAGGGCUGGGCCGGGAUGCGUCUUCCCUCCCUGGGGGCAGGGUUUGUGCUGAGAGCUGGGGGGCAGGGCAGUGCAAAUCAGGCUUCUAGAAUCCCCGCCCCCCAAGCCCCUGCCCUCAAGAGUGGCCUGGACCAUGUGAACCAAAAAUACUCGGACCAUAGGUCAAUGGUGCAGGACCCUCCUGGCCUGGCCCCAGGCCUGUUCUGAGCCCUGCCUUCCAGCCAUGGUGGCUUUUUCCUCUCUCAAGUCUUCUUUGUGUCAUGUCCUUACCAAUGGCGCAGAUGGCAGCUAGCACUUACGUGAUGCCGACGACCUUCCAAACAUGAACUCAUUCAAGCUUCCUGAAAACCCUCCGAGGUUGGUGCUAUUAUCGUCCUUCCCAUUUCACAGACGAGGAAACAGAGGCACAGAAGCUGGCUGAUGUACGGUCACGUUCUGCUGAGGUUGGAGUUGGGCUUCCAAUUCAUCCCCUCUGGCUUCGCCCUCUGCGCACGUAGCCACUUGGCAAUAGCGUCUCCUGUCUGCUUCUCAAAUGUUAUAGAGGCACCAGUUUCAACCAUUCUUUGAAAUGUCACAGGUGGAAGAAAUUCGUGUCCGCCCUCAGCGCGCCCAUUCUCGCGGGGGUGCAUUUAGACCUGUAUCGACCCCUGACCACCUGCCAGACCACCACGCUGGGGAUAAGACCACGGCAGACGUGAGCUUACAGUCUUUUUGGAAAGUCAACAAAUUAAAUAAGAAGCACAGCGAUGUGUGACGAAGGUUGUGUUUGAUGAAGUAUGAAAUAACACCAGCUAAUAUUUAUUGAGUAUUCUGCAAUGUAUAUUGCCAGGCAAUGUUCUCGGCGUUUUUAACAGACUCUCUCAUUUAAUGCUGACAGCAACCCUAUGACGUAAGUACUAUUUUGUUGUCGUUGUUGUUUUUAAGGCCGAACCCUCAGCAUGUGGAAGUUUCCAGGCUAGGGGUCAAAUUGGAGCUACAGCUUCCGGCCUACACCACAGCUCACGGCAAGGCUGGAUCCCAGAUUCACCGAGCGAGGCCAGGGAUAGAACCCGCAUCCUCGUGGAUACAAGCCGGAUUCUGCUGAGCCACGACAGGAACGCCCACAAUUCUGCAGAGGAGGAAAUGGAGGCGCAUCAACGUUGCAUACCUGCUGAGCGAUACAGCUGUUUAACGGUGGAACCGACACCGCAGGAGAACACAUCUGGAGGGAAACCCAGCCUGGGAACUAGGGCGUCUGGUUCCAGUCAGCUGGGGAGCAGCACUCAUUGAGAUGACAGAAGAUGGGAGCCGUCCACUCAUUCAGUCACUCAAAAGCCUUUAUCAGGCACGUUCAGAGGAGGACACGGAAGGAGGGUGGUGGCUGGUGGAACCAGAGAGGGAUGGUAUAGAGUGUUUGCAGUUAAGAAGAUGCAGCCCAGGAGCCAGCGCCAGAUUCAGUAUGUAAGGAUAUAAAAGGUAGGAACUACCCCUCGGUCCCCAGUGGUUAGCAUUCUAGGGGGUGCGGGGAGGCAGGCAGCUUGGCCUCUGCCUGUGUGUGUGUGCAGGGUGCUGGGGUGGGGGGGUGUCUUAGCGAGGAAGCUGUGCCUCUGGCCCAGAUUUCAGUACACCCAGCUGAGGGACUAUAUGACCACGGCCGGCUUCUAGAACCUUAGAAAUGAAGAGCCCUCAUUUGACAGAUGAAAGUUGUUACAACUAGAGACAUGUUUGCAAACUGGCAAGUUCUGUGACUCAAGGGUCCCUUCCAGCCUGGAGGACGGUGUGAGGCUUCACUGCUACAGGGCCACUGGCUGUUCAGUCCAUAGAGAACACGCACAGCGGGGCUUUGGCCAUCGGCUCGUUGGAAACAGAGUACGGCUGCUCUGUUCUCACGCGUUCUGGAGGCCAGGCUGCACUCCGGCACUUUAGACAAGGCUUGGCUCCUGGGAUUUUGGGAUCCGUGGGCGGGGGUAUCUGGGAACCGAUCCUCCACAGAUACAGAAGGUCACCUGUACCACGGAGUCUUCCUAGAGUCGCCAAGAGAACCUUCAAAGGACGACAGCAAAGUGGCCCUGAAAACACAGAGGAGCUGCUCCCAGCAGUGCGGGUGGGAACACUUGGGCAGGAGCUUGGAGGCGACAUGAAGGGGCUGGAGCCACCGUCGAGGAAGAGGAAGGUGGGCUGCAAGAAGCAGUGUGGACAAUGAGUUAGGAGGUGGGGCGAACACAUGCACACGACUGUGUGUAAAGCAGCUGACGCAGGAGGACGCACGCGGACAAAAGCGUCACGGAGCAGCCCUGGGAGGAUGCGAGGAAUGUCAAACCCUUGUCUUACCCACUAACACGAAAGUCCUGCCUUUGUCCAUUAUCUGCAUGGGGGCCUUGGGCUCUCGUGCUGUGCUUGGUCGCCUCAGGGAAACGGAUAAGGAGCAUCUACCACGGGCAGACCUCGGAGAAGCUGGGUUCAGCUCCAGACCAGCUCAACCUGGUGAGUACUGGCUGGUUCCAGUGCAUGGAAAAGCUAGCUUCAUGCUAGCUGUGCCGUAGUCUCUUAUGUCUGCAGUAGCAUCAUGUCUGAAAAAACAAUGUACACACCUGGAUUCAAGGGAGGUUAUUGCAAAAAAUGUAAACCAUCAGCUGACAGCGCUGCGUUUCCACAAACCCUCAGUUUGUAAAAACCGCAGCAUCGGUGAAGCGCAGUAAAGCAGGUGAGGUCUGCCUGCAGCGCAUUCAGGAAAGCGUGGCAGAGACCAGGCCUCCAAAGCGCCGGCGUGCAGCAGAAUUUUUGUACUCACCUUGCACAGCCAAGCUGAACAUUCACCUGCAGCCUUUAUUUCUUCAGCCAGAGCCCCCUUUAAACUGGGUCCUGCUCACCCACUAGAGCGGGGACAAAAGAAGAGAGAAGGGCCUUUCCUAUUUCCUCUCCGGCAGCGGCUCCUUGUGCACGUCGGCAGUCGUGGAGGUGCAAUAAAGAGGAAGGAGCGGGGAGAGGAGGGCCAGAUGCACGUAGAGGCACUGCCGGGCAGUGCCACUUCGUGCGCCCGCUGCCCCAAGGAAGGCUGCUUUAAAAGCCAUCGGGUCAUUUGUAGGGUCCUUUCGUCUGUCAUUCAAGCCUGGACACGAUUUUUUUCUCAAGGUCUUGGGACGCAAAAGCAGCUGCGGCUCUGAUUCCAAGCACCGUCAAUGAGCAGCUACCAAGGGGGAAGGGAAUCUAGCAGGUGCCUGUCCUAAGAAUGUCAUCUUGGCAAUGCCGCUGGGUCUGUCCCAGGCAGGAAGGAAUGAAGGCGGAAGGCUCCUCAUGCACGCUUUAGAUACAGACCGAUUCUGGGGAGAUAAGGCGGGAGAGGUUCCUUUUGGAGAGCUUUGCUUCAAGCCCUGAACACAUUCUCAAGAGUAGAACCUAGCUGGGGAAGGUGUGGAGAAAAGGGAACCCUCCUGCUCUGCUGGUGUGAAUGUAAGUGGGUACAACCACUAUGCAAAACAGCAUGGAGAUUCCUUGGAAAACUAAAAGUAGAACUACUAGAUGAUCCAGCAGUCCCACUCGUGGGCAUAUAUCCGGACAAACCAUAAUUCAAAAAGAUAUGUGUAUCCUGAUGUUCAUUGCAGCACUAUUCACAUAACAGCCAAGACAUGGAAACAACCUAAAUGUCCAUCAACAGAUGAACCAAUGAGUAAGAUGUGGUACAUAUGCACAAUGGAAUACUACUCAGCCAUGAAAAAGAACAAAAUAAUGCCAUCUGUCGUAACAUGGAUGGAACUAGAGAGUCUCAUACUAGGUGAAGUAAGUCAGAAAGAGGAAAGACAAAUACCAUAUGUCGUCACUUAUAUGUGGGAUCUAGAAUAUGGCACAGACGAACCUCUCUGCAAAAUAGACACAUUCACAGACAUAGAGAAUAGACUUGUGGUUGCCAAGGCAGAGAGGGGGCAGUGAGAUGGACUAGGAGUUUGAGGUCAGUAGACACAAACUAUUGCAUUUAGAAUAUGGAUAAACACUAAGGCCCUGCUGUCCAGCACAGGGAACUAUAUCCAGUCCCCUGGGACAGACCAUGAUGGAAAAGAAUACCAAAAAGAACGUAAAUACAUGUGUAACGGAGUCACUUUGCUGUGCAGCAGAAAUCGGCACAACAUUGUAACUCAACUAUCCUUUAAUAAAAAAAUAAGUUCUUCAAUUAAAAAAAAGAGUAGAACCUAGAUGCUUCCUCAGGCUGCAGAGCAUUCUAGUGUUAUCUGGAUGGUAUCAAAAAGCCAUUGGCUGUGGUAAAAAUGCCACCAGACUUAGAAGCUGAGACCUGGGUCUGAGAUCAGCUCUUGCUUCCUAGCUACGGCCGGGCGCCCUCUUCACAGAGCAGUAAUGAGGGGCAAACGAGAAGUGACGACGCUUACAAACUGUAAUACGUGCACAUAUUGGUUGCUUUGUUGUUGUUACCUCGCAACACUCGGGGAUCGCCCUGGUCUGGGUUCCAGUGAAGUAGCCAGGGUCUUGGCAGGUUCGGCUACAUUAGGUGACGUUAGACGGCAGAGGCUCCAACAGGGGGUUCGCUUGGAAGACCUAGCCCAGCGCGAUGGCUGAAGCGCGACCACUUUUCCUGGACAGUUGCUUUGGGUGGUGGCUCCCGACUCCUUCUCCAGGGUCUGGGCGAGAAGGCUUGAGGUUUACACCAGGAUUGUAUUUAAUCAGGAUUGUAUCUAAUCCUCCCCCAGCUCCCCCAGCAGGUGGCCUCGGGCGUUCCUGAAGGCGUGGCGCCCAGGGGCUCCUUCUCCCCCGUGGGUUUAGCCUCGAGUUCUCUUAGGCGUCUCCCCUCCUCCCUGACGGCUCUGGCCUCGCCUUCCAGGCCUGGUCCCAGAAGGGACCUUUGUUCAGGCUCCAUCCUCUGUCUGCUCCCUGGACGCCAGGCUUUGGGGCCCCCUGAGUUCCCAGGCCCCUCCCUUGACGUUCCUCCCCCGAGGGGCCGGGCAGGCCCCUGGGGGUCCACUGGGUGGCACUCAGGCCUCUGGAGCGCGCUGAUGCCCUGGGCAACCCCCUCUCCAGGGCUGGUCACCCUGUAGCCCCCCCACCAGGGGCAUGUUACAUUAUGCUGAAAACAGGGAGUGGCUUCUUUGUGUCCUGAGUCCCAGCCCUGGGUGCCCCUCUUGGGCUGCUGCCCAUGGCUGGGCCCUGCCAGCCCCACCCGGCCCCUUAGCACAGGCCUCGCCAUUGUCCUGGGAUGGAUCUGCCCCCAUGCUUGGGCCUAGGGGCCAGUUUCAAGCCCCCAGAUGCUCCCAGGACACUCACCUGGACGUCAAGGAUACCUUCCCACGUGGCAGCCACCUUGGCCUUCCAGCCCGGCCUCCGUUAGGGUCCCCUGGGACUCGGCCGAUCCUCGGGCUUGCGGCUCCCACCUCGGGGCGCACCGCGGCCGGGGCCCGUCGGCUCCUCCUGCCUCCAGUCCCCGUGGUGGGAGCUGUGAGGAGAGAGUGUCUGUGCGGGAUGCCACCAGCAAGCCUGUGCCCCCGAGAACAACAGACCCCUUUUCUCUCUGGUCCUUCAGAAACCUGCCCCUUGUCGCACGGCUGUGUGACAGGAAGCCAAAGGCCCAUCUUUGUGUGUGACAGCGGAGGCUUCCAGGCAAACUGCGGUUAUCGCCACAGGAGAGCAGUUUGCAACCGUUUAACCCUUUCAUCUCCCACCUCCCCAGUGCAGGUUGUCCGCACACGGUCCACACUUACUGGGGCCGGUGGAGGGCCCGUGUCAUUGAGAAGCGCUGGGAGCACAGAGGCAAACAGGUUCCUGGCCCCACUCCGGCCUUCCAAACAAGACGGCUGGAGUGGUGCUAGGUUCCCGAUUCUUGCCUCAAAAGAGCAGUUCCCUUCUCUCCAAACACAAGAGACUGCCAAUUGGUGGUUCAUCUCAAGCAGAGGCCACAUGAUGAGCAGUCGUACAAGCCUUUUCUCCUCGUUGUGC